UACGAAGGGGGCUAGCGUUGCUCGGAAUCACUGGGCGUAAAGCGCACGUAGGCGGCUUUUUAAGUCAGGGGUGAAAUCCUGGAGCUCAACUCCAGAACUGCCUUUGAUACUGGGAAGCUUGAGUCCGGAAGAGGUGAGUAGAACUCCGAGUGUAGAGGUGAAAUUCGUAGAAAUUCGGAAGAACACCAGUGGCGAAGGCGGCUCACUGGUCCGGUACUGACGCUGAGGUGCGAAAGCGUGGGGAGCAAACAGG
rnacentral:rRNA from 1 species